rnacentral:lncRNA from 10 species
CUUCACCUCCCAUUGUCUCUGUCUCUCUCUUUCUCCUCUGCUUCCCCUCACCCCACAACCAAAGUCAAGAGCGCAGACCCCAUGAUCACCUGAUACUUCCAAGCAAGCAGGUGUUCUUUUCAGAAGCCAGAAGCUGAUAACCUGGGCUUUCUGAUCUAACCCCAGCCCAAAUUCAUUGCAAUGGAGGAAUUGGGGAGGAGAUUCUUCCUACUGAGAAGUGGGUGCCAACUCUCCCUUUCAAAUUUGUUCAUCAACAAACUAAAGGGGAUGCCAGAAAUGUCUGGAGCAAUGGAAGAACCACUGGAAUAAUGCUCCUGCCUGAUUGUAUCUACUUAACCCACUCUCCAAGAGCCAGAAUCAGAUUUCAACCGUAUGGAAUCAUCUACAAUGCAGCAGAUGGGUUUACAAGUCUCUUGGUCUCUUCAUGUAAUUAACAGCCAAGAAGUCUAAAGCUUGCAUUGUUUACGUGGAAGAUGUUUCUUGCCCAUUCCCAUGCCAUGCCAUCUGAAAUCGCUCCUUUUUUUAUUUUUUCUGUGCAGUUUUUUUAACUUUGUGGGAUCCUCUGCAUAUAAAACUCCAUUCAAC